rnacentral:rRNA from 1 species
AGGGUGUAAACGCUGCAGACUUGGUGUUGGGGGCCCUUUGGGGGCGAUUCAGUGCCGGAGAGAAGUUGUUAAGUCUGCUACUUGGGGAGUACGUCCGCAAGGAUGAAACUUAAAGGAAUUGGCGGGGGAGCACCGCAACGGGAGGAGCGUGCGGUUUAAUUGGAUUUCAACACCGGAAAACUCACCAGCAGCGACUGUUACAUGAAAGUCAGGCCGAUGACCUUACUAGAUUUUCAGAGAGGAGGUGCAUGGCGUCAGUGACU